rnacentral:lncRNA from 10 species
GGGGACCCGGGCUUGCGUCGGAGGGGGCGGUGGGCUCACCCAUGGGCCUUUCCAAAAGCAAAGAGAAACCCAGGAAAGGUGAGGAGCAAAAGAAGGGAUCCACCUAUUCAGUUCCAAAAUCUAAGGAGAAGUUGAUGGAGAAGCAUUCCCAGGAAGCCAGGCAGGCAGACAGGGAGUCGGAGAAGCCUGUGGACAGCCUCCACCCGGGGGCCGGGACAGCCAAGCACCCGCCGCCGGCAGCUUCGCUGGAAGGUAGGAGACGGCGGGAGGGAGCGAAGCGAGGUCAGUGGCUUGGAGGAUCUGGGGCUGGGGUGAGGAGCCUACUGUAAGACCCUACCGGAUGGACACUAGUAGCAGGCACGCGCCGUAAAGAUGAAACUGGUUUGUUUUGGGAACUUUAUGUAGGAGGUAAAUAUCCAGAAAUCUUAGUUGAAAACAUAAGUUUAAUGAAAAUGUAGGUCAGUUCCCGAGUGAUAAGUGCGUACCAGGUGGUCGAGGGGCUGGGGCAGUGUGCGUGUGUCUCACCUGAGGUUCUCCUCGAGGGCUGGGUAUCUUGGUGCCACUGAGAAUCCCUGAGCCUCCGCACACUGGAACAGAGCAUUGGGAGGCCGUCCCAGGCUGGACUGUAGCUCUCCGAGGGCUGUGGGGAUAAGUACAUUGCGGAGGGUGACCGAGGAGUAGAACCUGGGUGCGACAAAGGUGUCUUUUAUAACAGCCUAGUGUGGCCAGACCUUUGGGUGUGUGUGGGGAAGAUGAGGCCCCAAAAGUAGGAAGAAGCUAGAAUACAAAGUUUUCCAUCAGUUUUACCACGUGGAGCUGGAAGCGUUAAAUAUUUUAAACAACGGAGGUGCUGCCUGGGGCGGUAGUUCACACCUGUCCUCCCAGUUAUUUGGCCGAGGCAGGAGGAUCUUUUGAGCCCAGGAGUUCAAGACCAGCUUGGGCAACAUAGUGAGACCCUGUCUCUACAAAAAAUAAAUAUUUAAAAAUAAAAAACAAGGGCGGCAUGAUGAGGUCUGUGCCUACCAACAGGGGAAGCCAGUUCGCAGGGGAGGUGGCCCGGUCAGAGACCCAUUGCUGUGGCCCAGUGGGAGCCAGCAAGGCCUUGCAGUAGGAAUUGCAGAAGGGUCAGGCAGGGAGAACCCGCAGAGCCUGCCGUCCGAGGAGAUUGGGGGCCUGUGCCAGGAGGAGGUGUUUUAAGUUUCAUCACAAGAAUGAACCACUCGGCUGGGCGCAGUGGCUCACGCCUGUAAUCCCAGCACUUUGGGAGGCCGAGGCGUGUGGAUCACUUAAGGUCAGGAGUUCAAGACCAGCCUGGCCAACGUGGUGAAACCCUGUCUCUACUAAAAAUACAAAAAUUAGCUGGGCGUGGUGGCAUGUGCCUGUAAUCCCAGCUACUCAGGAGGCUGAGGCAGGAGAAUUGCUCGAACCUUGAACCGGGACCCGGGAGGCAGAAGUAGUGGUGAGCGAGAUCGCACCACUGCACUCCAGCCUGGGCUACAGAGUGAGACUCUGUCUCAGAAAAAAAAAAAAAUAAUAAGGAGAGAACCACUCGGGUCAGACAAGAAAGAAUGUCAGGGGGAUGACUGGCCUGCUAGGCAGAGGAGCUGGGCCUGGACUGCUUCACACUGACACGCUUGUAGGAUCAAGGGCUGAAAGUAGGAGGCUCUGGGCCUUGGACUUGGAAGAAAGACUUGGAUUUGAAUUCCCAACUUUGGAACCUCCCACUGGAGGGUGGAACCCCUCACAGGAGGGCGCAACCCCCCACCGGAGGAUGGAACCCUGCAGGAAUAGCAUCACCCUUGGGUGGCAGUUUGGAAAAUGCUACCUGUCUGUCACGGUGCUUUUAGCUGAAAGUUACAGAAAAGCUCACUAAACGCAGCUUUAACACAGGGAUUUAAUGUCUCACGAAUGAAGGGUCAGAGGUGGAGCUUCCAGGUUGGCUUGUUAGCACAACAGUGACAUCAAAGACUUUGCGUGUCUCUUCUUGACCACUCUCAGUGUCCACAGCCCCCGAUGAGUGUACAGCCCCCCACACGCAGGCAGGACUGCAUCUACUGCAAAGGCAUUGCUCCUUGCUUCAUAUUAGCAAGGAAACCUUUCCCAGGAAGGCUUCGCCUGCCCAGCCUCUGCAGGACUCAUUCAAUGGUGCAAAUUCACCAGGGGCUGGAGGGAGCUGUGAAGCAUGGGAGUGGGCAGGACCUCUGCCAGUAACGGAAGUGGGGGAAGGAGGACCGCCUGUUGGAAGGGCCCCAGCAGUGUCUGUCACACCAGAGGGUGGGGGAGGAAGGUGGACAUGAAGGGAAAACAGCAGAGCAAGAGUGAGAACAGAGUUUCAGCAGAUAAAAUGAAGUGUGCACGCUCUCCAUGCAGUGACGGGCUGAGCGACAGUGAGGAGCAGGCUGCUGACUCCCUUGCCACACCGUGAAGGAGUCCCAAAGGUGGGACACUGAGUGAGACAAGCCAGAGGAAAGACCACUCAUGUUGCAGUUCCCUUUCCAUGGAAUGUCCAGAAAAGGCACAUUUACAGAGAGAAGCAGAUGAGUGGUUGCUGGGCAGAAAUGGGAGCCGGCCACAGCUGAGCACAAGAGGACUUUGGAGGGUGAUGGAAAUGGUUUUCGACCUGAAUCUGAACAUGGGAAGCACUGCAGUUUAGUAGUCCUGGUCCCUAAGCCCUUCCAGCCCAGGAGCCAGACCUGUGAGCAAACAAGCCUUUAGUGAUUCCAGGCUCUGGCUGGAACCUUGAGUCUUCUCAGCUUGGGGCAUGCACCUCAGGGGGAGCCAGCAUCAGUGUCCAGCCCCAAGAGCUUCCCUGUACGUCUCAGUGAGUCUUCACAUGCCUCCAACUGCCUGGACAACCACACGUGAUACCUGUCCUGCCAAACGUGUCCUGAACCCAUAAAAUCCAGAGAAAAGAAAAUCGUUUUAAACUGCUGAGGUUUGGGGUAAGUUACUAUGAAGCAGUAGUGAGAAGAACAGAAGGGCCAUGAUGGGGAGAAAGUUUGGCCAUAAGUUAAUCACUGUGGCAGCUGUUAGGAUAUUGAUGUGGCUUGGCUGUGUCCUCACCCAAAUCUCAUUUUGAAUUCCCACAUGUGGGAGGAACUGGGUGGGAGGUGAUUGAAUUAUGGGGGCAGGUCUUUCCUGUGCUGUUUUCGUGAUAGUGAAUGAGUGUCACGAGAUCCGAUGGUUUUAAAAACGGGAGUUUCCUGCAUAAGCUCUCUCUCUGCCUGCUGCCAUCCAUGUAAGAUGUGACUCGCUCCUCCCUACCUUCCGCCGUGAUUGUGAGGCGUCCCCAGCCAUGUGGAACUGUAAGUCCAUUAAACCUUCUUCCUGUGUAAAUUA